rnacentral:rRNA from 1 species
UUAANACAUGCAAGUCGAGGGGUAGAAGGAGCUUGCUCCUUUGAGACCCGGCGCACGGGGUGCGUAACGCGUAUGCAAUCUACCUUUUGCAGAGGGAUAGCCCAGAGAAAUUUGGAUUAAUACCUCAUAGUAUGUGAGGAUGGCAUCAUUUUCACAUUAAAGUCACAACGGCAAAAAGAUGAGCAUGGCGUCCCAUUAGCUAGUUGGUAAGGUAACGGCUUACCAAGGCUACGAUGGGUAGGGGUCCUGAGAGGGAGAUCCCCCCACACUGGUACUGAGACACGGACCAGACUCCUACGGGAGGCAGCAGUGAGGAAUAUUGGACAAUGGGCGCAAGCCUGAUCCAGCCAUGCCGCGUGCAGGAUGACGGUCCUAUGGAUUGUAAACUGCUUUUAUACAGGAAGAAACACUACUUCGUGAAGUAGCUUGACGGUACUGUAAGAAUAAGGAUCGGCUAACUCCGUG